CCCCACCGGUCGGUCACUAAAAUUUUCUACCUUAAUCGCGCGCGUAGCAGUUCGCCCCUCCCCCAUAUUAUCCCCUGCUCCUCUUCCCCCUUUCUCGCCACAGCAGAUCGGAAUCGGAGGUCCUCGGUCAUCCGAUCCACCCGCCCCAGCCAGGUCGUACUCCGCCUCCUCCUCAUCAUCAUCUACGGGAUUCUGCUCGCUGCCUCUAUCGCGACCUUCUCCUCCGUGCCCCAGGCCGCGCGAACGCUGUUCCCCUCCUCACCGACGGGAUCUCAACCGCCGGCCUCACCCGCGAGAGCGCCGCCACCUACCUUAGAGGGAACGGCGCCACCGGCCGCAAGGUAAGAACAUCUUAUACGAAACUUUGUCGUAUUGUCGUACUGGAUACUCUUCGUGUAUUGGUUGCUUGUCCGGAGGUUUCUAGAUCGUGAUUACGCAUGUUUGCUCCGUCCAGAUGAUUCAAGCUGAAUAUUAUCCUACAUGUUGGUUUUUUCUCCAUGAGAUCUACUAUGUUUGUCUGGAUGCAUCCCAUGCCCGUCCGCGUGAGUACCUGCCCACCAAUUAUUUAUGUUAAUUCAUGAGAUGAACUCGAUGCGAUGUGAUGGUCGAUUCUCGUACGUAUUCUCAAUUCCGACUUUUUUUUUUGUAUUGUAACCUGAUCGGCCAGCCGGCCGUGAAAGACCUAUGGCCGAGUGCCGUCGGGGCCUUGACCCAUGCCUAUGCAUUUGAUGCAUGCCUGCCCAGGAUGCUGCAAUCCCUUCGCAUGUGAUGCAUCACGGAAGUUGCUAGUAAAAUUCCAUGAGAUGGAUUGGGAUUCUUUUCAGCCACAUACAAUAUGAUUGCAAGUGCUGAUCAGUGUUGGUUAGUAUAUUUGAUAUGCUAACAUGUGUGUCUUCUAGCCGGACGAUACAUACAAGCAAGAUCGAUUCAUAUGAUGUAUCUUUUUUUGUUGGCUGCUGCUACUAGUACACUAGAUGUCUGUGAUUUAAUUUAUAUGCUGCAGCCAAUCAUCUUAAUUUAUAUGAUAUCUAUAUAUAUCUUAACACUUGAAGUAUUCUUGUUUUUUUGCCCGUCAUCAUUUUAGAUUAUGACUAUCAUACACAGUCAGCUCGGUGGAUGAUAUCUAGAUUUGUUUUGAACACUGUAUUAUAUAAUUUAUAUUAGCACAUUGUCAUUUGCAGUGAACUGUGCUAAGAAAAUUUUCUUUUCUUUCUGUUAUAGAUCAUCACAGGUUAUUGGGUCAAUGUUAGGCCCCGGGCGGCGAUUUCAUAUGAGCGAAAUAUGAAAUCAAUAGGUACUCUAUUUUCCUUUAACAUUAGUUUCUGUGACUGGUUCAUGUGUGCUGAGCUCCUGUAUGUGAACAUAUAUGCAAACCAUGUGUAUUAGUUUCUAUUACUACUAUGUUAAUGAUGGCAGUUUAGAUAUCCCUGUGUUAGAUAAUUAUCAUAUCUAGAAGAUGAUCAAAUUUUCUUGAUUCAUUUGUAGCUCAUUGUUGGAUUAUGCUGCUGCUGCUGGAGAUGGACAUGCUGUUAAAUAUUUUCCUGGAGCUUGAAAUCCUUGAAGUGCUUACCAUGUUUUUUUUUGAAAUGGAAGUGCUUACCAUGUACUCUCUUUUAUAAACUAAAUACCUGUGGCUAGCACAGGAAUUGGGAGGUUGUCUUUGUGAUCAUCUACUCUUACAAGUAGCAACUGCUGAUAUACAAUUGCAGCCUUGAUCCUUUUAUGUGUCACACCAACCGUUAUUUUUCUGAACUUAGUUUCAUAACAGCUUGUCCUGUACAUGGAUUUUGGCAAGCAAUGCUUUAUUUGUGGAUCCAUUCGGCAGCGAGGUUAUGUUAUCUGUAUCUAGUCUUAUUUAUUUCUGAAAAACCUGCAUUUUGUAGGACACCUACGAGACUGGUUCUGAAAAACAGUAAGUUAAAGGAUGAGGUACGGUCACUAAAGGUACACAUUUUUUACUGUUUUUUCUUUGACUGAAGGUACACUCAUCUUGCUAACUAAGUUUUUCACUAUUUGUGUGGAGUAUGACUAUGCAUUGUGAAUUUGUGAUGUUCGCUCUAUCUGAAGAAACUCCUUAUAUUCGUAUUGCACUAUUCUUUCCCUUGAAUUAGGCAUCGCAAAGUCAGCGCCAAUUUUCAUCUAAAUUAUGGCCUGAAAUCAUGCACGCCAUUAUCAUUCCUUAUUGCUUACUCUCUAUUUUUGGUUGGAUUCACUACUCACUGCUCACACUCUGUUGUUGGUCGAUUCUAUUGUGGUAGAGGCAACGCGGUGCUUAACGAUGGGGUGCUGGGGCGGAAGCAAUUGGAUACUCUGAGCUGGAGCAGAUGGUAUGCGGUGCUCGACGACCACACGCCGGAGUGCGAGGGAUGAGCCAGAUGCUGGAGCAGAGACGAUGUCGGAUCACGGCCGUGGCGACUGAUCAGCUGGAUCACGGCGCAGACGAUGGACUAGUUUAGCAGAAUUCAAAUUCAUGUAUCAAGGGUAGAAAUGUCCAGUCAUUUCAUUUGCUUGUCCGCUUUACUUUGUUGCAUUAUCACGGGCAGUUUAGUCUUGGCACUUAAUUAGGAUGGCUAAAUUAUAUUUGAGUUUCAUUUGAUGGAUAUUUACUGUGAGAAUUAUGAUUUUUAUGAAUCUACAUAUUAUAUGUAUGGUUUUGAGUAUUGUAAUUGAAUGCUUUUAUUUUUUUAUGGUUACUAUAGGCUAUUGCCACAACCCACUUUUGG
rnacentral:lncRNA from 1 species